rnacentral:rRNA from 1 species
AACGAACGCUGGCGGCAGGCCUAACACAUGCAAGUCGAGCGCCCAGCAAUGGGAGCGGCAGACGGGUGAGUAACGCGUGGGAACCUUCCCAAUGGUACGGAAUAGCUCAGGGAAACUUGAGGUAAUACCGAAUAAGCCCGAAAGGGGAAAGAUUUAUCGCCAUUGGAUGGGCCCGCGUAGGAUUAGCUAGUUGGUGAGGUAAUGGCUCACCAAGGCGACGAUCCUUAGCUGGUUUGAGAGAAUGACCAGCCACACUGGGACUGAGACACGGCCCAGACUCCUACGGGAGGCAGCAGUGGGGAAUCUUGGACAAUGGGCGCAAGCCUGAUCCAGCCAUGCCGCGUGAGUGACGAAGGUCUUCGGAUUGUAAAGCUCUUUUGCCAGGGACGAUAAUGACGGUACCUGGAGAAUAAGCCCCGCUAACUUCGUGCCAGCAGCCGCCGUAAG